AUUGAACGCUGGCGGCAGGUCUAACACAUGCAAGUCGAGCGUGCGGCGGACGGGUGAGUAAUGCCUGGGAAUUGCCCAGUUGAGUGGGAUAACAGUUGGAAACGACUGUUAAUACCGCAUACGAUCGGAUUGCCCAGGUGGGAUUCGCUAGUUGGUGAGGUAAUGGCUCAACAAGGCGACGAUCCCUAGCUGGUCUGAGAGGAUGAUCAGCCACGCGGGAACUGAGACACGGUCCAGACUCCGACGGGAGGCAGCAGUGGGGAAUAUUGCACAAUGGGGGAAACCCUGAUGCAGCCAUGCCGCGUGUGUGAAGAAGGCCUUCGGGUUGUAAAGCACUUUCAGCGAGGAGGCGUUACUCGCAGAAGAAGCACCGGCUAACUCCGUGCCAGCAGCCGCGGUAAUAC
rnacentral:rRNA from 1 species